UCAACCAUCAAGCCUGGCUUGUUAUUGGACCCUUUGCGACUGAAAUAUGUUGCAGGUCCGAAAAAUAAUGACAGUGUCAUGUUUGACCCUAGAUGCAACGAGCUUUUUAAUAGCACGCAUUGAAGUGGUUGACUGACCUGGUCUUUAACCAUCAUUUUUCUAA
rnacentral:misc_RNA from 2 species